ACCUCAACAGACCAUCAUUUGUGUAGAGUGGAAUUGUCUCUGCAAAGAUGACGAAAGCUUUUCUUGAGGACAUAAAUUUGGUUAAAUCAUCAAUCUAGUGCUGAACUGAAUUUUGGAAAUGGGGAUUAUCAUCUAAACUGACUCUAAAAGAAUUUCUUCAUAGACAGUUUUAUGCUUUGUUGGCUAAUAUAUCUUCCUGGUUUUUUUUAUUUGUUUGUUUUCUGGGCUUUCAGGUAGAACAAUACAGAUUGUUAAUAGAUUUCAGGUCUUAUUCAAUAAUGUACCUUGUAAUAGUAAAUAUCUGUGGACUUUGGUGCAUUGUAAUUCAUGGAAUGAGAGAAUUUUGGUAAUUUAAGAUGCAUGACACGUUUAGUGCUUGUAUUGUGUAGUCAGGUUAAAUAGGAAUUAGUCCACCAUGUUCAGACGUACUUGAAUAAGAUAAAAAUAGAAUGAUCCUCACACUGGACUGAAAUGAACAAGUACAAGGGGUGCCAUAGAUGUUUUGUAAACAACCUUGAUAGAGAGGAAUGAAAAAGACAAGUCUUUGUUAACAAACACUUUACAACAAUGAGUUAGUAAUUAUGUAAUCAAAUUGUAGCUUAUGAUAUUUGAUAUAAAGCACUGUGUAUUUCAAAUUGUGAUUUAUUCAUUUCAUUGUACAAUAUUUUUGUAACAGUUGCAAGGCAGGAAAUUUGGGAUAUAACAUAUCUUUUCCGUGGCAUAUAUAUACGAUGGUUGUGUUUUUCAGACUGGUUUAUGUGCCAAUUUCUAUUUGUGCAAGUUGUUUGGCAUUAUUAUUUUUCUUUUUUAUUUUAAAUAAUUUAAGUUGUGAAAAUUUUGAAGUAAAUUUACCCCACCCAGAACAAAAGUUUUGAGAGCAGAUACAAAAAUUAGUUGAAAAUUUCGAGCUCAAAUAUUAGUAGCCAAUAUGCCUAUAUUGGAAUGGUAUAUUAUUUCAUAACAAUGUAAAUUAUACAAAUUUUGUAUGCAAGAAUAAAACAUUUCCAUUUUC
rnacentral:misc_RNA from 1 species